AUAGAGGUUCAGUGGAAGGUGGUAUUUCUUGAAGGAAGCACUCCAUCUUCGGUGCGAGCCCCUGCUGCAGGAAGGAAGGCAAAGCCAGACACGGGCACAGGCACAGCAGACUGGGAUGCUGGGAAGGAUUCUCCAUUAGCCUGGCGCUCUGAAGUUGUGAAGCCCUCUGAGCAUUCUGCAGGCGUGUCUGCAGGGACGACCUCACCAACUCCUACCUUGGAUGCUGCACAAAAGGCCAGCUCCCAUGGCAGGGGUCCUACGACAGGAGAGACCAAAGACAUGGCAGGCAAGAAAUUCCAGGACCCAUUAGAAAUCAUGUGGCAAAUGCUGUAGGAAUGUCUGCAGAGAAGGCAAG